rnacentral:piRNA from 2 species
UCACAGAAUUUAAGGAUGCCAAACCAUUGA